rnacentral:sRNA from 1 species
CUAUGUAACACGACAGCCUGCUUCAGCUUUGCUUCCUUCCAAACCUGCCACAGUUCCACGUACAGUCUUCAAGCCACAUACACCCUAGUGGCAAAAGCUACACAGUCCCUCAGCAAUACCAACAGUGCUGAUCCGGAGUGGCCGGGUGCCCAUUGUGUCCUUGGAGUGUGUGUCCUGCAAGGCACAGGCCGUGUACGAAGUGAGCCGCAGCUCCUACGUGUACCUGGAGGGCCGCUGCCUCAAUUGCAGCAGUGGCUCCAAGCGAGGGCGGUGGGCUGCACGUACGUUCAGCAACAAGACGCUGGUGCUGGAUGAGACCACCACGUCCACGGGCAGCGCAGGCAUGCGACUGGUGCUGCGGCGGGGCGUGCUGCGGGACGGCGAGGGAUACACCUUCACGCUCACGGUGCUGGGCCGCUCUGGCGAGGAGGAGGGCUGCGCCUCCAUCCGCCUGUCCCCCAACCGCCCGCCGCUGGGGGGCUCUUGCCGCCUCUUCCCACUGGGCGCUGUGCACGCCCUCACUACCAAGGUGCACUUCGAAUGCACGGGUUGGCAUGACGCGGAGGAUGCUGGCGCC